GACGAACGCUGGCGGCGUGCUUAACACAUGCGAGUCGAACGGAAAGGCCCCUUUGGGGGUACUCGAGUGGCGAACGGGUGAGUAACACGUGAGUAACCUGCCCUUGACUUCGGGAUAACUUCAGGAAACUGGGGCUAAUACCGGAUAGGAAUCCUUGCUGCAUGGUGGGGGUUGGAAAGCUUCGGCGGUUUUGGAUGGACUCGCGGCUUAUCAGCUUGUUGGUGGGGUAGUGGCUUACCAAGGCUUUGACGGGUAGCCGGCCUGAGAGGGCGACCGGCCACAUUGGGACUGAGAUACGGCCCAGACUCCUACGGGAGGCAGCAGUGGGGAAUAUUGCACAAUGGGCGGAAGCCUGAUGCAGCAACGCCGCGUGCGGGAUGACGGCCUUCGGGUUGUAAACCGCUUUCAGCAGGGGCGAAGCUUGUGGUGACGGUACCUGCAGAAGAAGCACCGGCUAACUACGU
rnacentral:rRNA from 1 species